rnacentral:lncRNA from 1 species
CUUCCAAAGUGUGGGGAUUACAGGCGUGAGCCCCCACGCCUGGCCCUGGAAAUAACCUUCUUUUGACCAGAAGGCACUUGGUAAGAGGCUUCCUUGGUGAGUCCUGGCUUGGGGCUGCUUCUUCCUGCUGGUCUUGUGCCCUACUUGCUUGGAAGCCCCCCUCCCCGGCCUCUCCCUUCCUAGAACUCCGAGCCACAGACAAGUGCCCAGAACAUUACCCUGAGAUUUUCAAAGAAGACAGAGAAGAAUAGGAAAAUGAAAAAACGCAAAUGUAAGUCUGUGGGGAUGGAAUUAAUUAAAAGGAAAAAAUAAUACGAAGGCCAAGGAGGGGAGAGAGGGUGAGAAACAACAAAAACUCAUUUACAGCCAACAGAGAUCAUCUGAGGGAAAACAAAGAAUGGAACCCAAAUGAAAGAUUCCUGUGCAAGUCUAGGGAGAAGACUUGGGGAUGUGCAGGGAGAGAAAAGGACGCAGUGAUUAAUAAAACAGAGGGGAAAAUGAAAAUGCAACACAAAGCCCUCGGGUUCUACAUACAAGCCAAGGUACAUAUGCCAAUAAAAGCAGGGAAAUGGGGAACAAAGGAUGUCAUAGCAACCUCAAGGAGCCCUGUUGUGCUACCGACUGCAGAGCUCAUGGACAUCCAUCAGGAAGCCUCCAAUACCCAAACCAGAGACAGAGGAGCAAAAGGACCUCUCCUUGUGUGAUGCUGGCUAACAUCCCACUGGCCAAAACAGGUUACAUGUUAGGUGCAAAGGGGUAGUUGCCUAAUCCAUAUCCAUGUGGAUAGCUCUUUACUUAGGAAACCUUGAUGGCUUAUUUGGAUGACAAAGGUUCCCUUUUGGCGAUACAUAGCCAUGCGAGACAACAUAGCCAUGAAACAAACCAAGUCCACCAGUGGCUUCCUAGGAACACAUUUGCUUUCCUGAUAAAAGAGGACAGAUGCAGUUGCAGAAGUACCUGUGCCUCUUUUUCUUUUUCUUCUUCUUUUUCUUUUUUAAUCUCUUAAAUGCAGAUAUAAGAACUGGUACUGAAGCAGCCAUCUUGUGACCAUAAGGAAGAAGCCAAGAACAUCAGAACCAGUGGCCUAGCCAUUGCACAGUCAUCUAAACACACCUCUGGACUUGUUAUUAUGUAAAAAAAAAUAAACACCUGCUCUUGUUAUUUGCAAUUCAACAUAAUCGUAACUUACAUAAUAUUUAUCAAAUUGAUACAAAUAAGAAAUAAAUUACUUGGGAAUAAAAUUUCCAGUAGUUUGUCAAGCAUCUCCAAUCUUCUGAUUUCUUUAUUUCCCAUUGCAUUUUUCCCCAAUAAAUAUUCAUCUUCAAUACUCAAGAGUCUUCGUUAUGUCAGAGGGAAGUUGCUCUGAAGCUAAAAUCACAAUAGAAAAAUAUAUCCAGAGGUAUAGGCCUGUAUCCCCCAGCAGUUUCUUUCUUUGGUUAUGUCAUCUAUUGUCAGGGCAUAUCAACAAAACACAACGAAUGGUCGGAUGUGGCUGUCCUUGGUCAUGAUCUCUUUCAUUCUUGAAUACCUACUCAUCACUUACAGUUCUGCCUCAGUUUACUGUGCAGAAGCCACCUGUCAUGUAACAUCCAAAUCUGGUCAUUUAGGACUUAACUUCCCUCCAUCUCUUCAUACUGAGAUGUAGUGAUGGGAGAUUUCCAUUUCUUCUUUCAAAUGUUGUUUAUACACACAUUUCAGGCAUAAACUUUGUGGGAAACAAAAAUGAAUGAGGAAUCAAGUUGCUCUCAACAGCGUCUUGUAGACAUAAACUUUCAUGA